GUCCACAAAAGUCCACCAGAACCUAUACACUAAAGUUAAACAGGUUGACUGCAAGCUAAAGUAGAAGCUCCUUGUGUAAUACCUACCCUUUGAGUAUGGGUUGGUUUUAGUUAUUUGCUUCCAGAGAAUAGAAAUUUCUUCCAUGAUUCAGUGCAUAAUAUUUUGACUUGUCUUUCUUGCUAGUAGACUUUCAUGCUCUCACUCUCUCUCUCUCCCUCUCUCUCUGUCUCUCUCACUGGCAGAAGAAAUCUUAAAAGUUUGAGAAGAAAAUAUGGUAAAUAACUAAGAGAAAUCUCUGGUCAAUACUCAACAAGUCCUUCAGUCCAACAAUAUUCCAUACAUGAAAUCCUGCCAAAAACCAGGUUAAAGAGAGAUCAUCAAUCAGAGGACCCAAUUAAGCUGUGACCAGAGUCCUGGCCCAUUGCAACUGUGAACAAAGUGCAUGUUGUUUAGGCUGCUAAACUUGUGGUUAUUUGUUUCACAAUAGUAAGUAACUUAUAAAAAUGCUCUAUACUCGUGAUCCUCAUUAUCAAUGAAACAUCUCAUUAUUCAUGUAAGGACAUUGAAUUCCUUAAAAAUUGAGGUAAACUAUCUUGAAAACAAAGCCCAAGGGGUUAAUGCAUUUUCAUAUACCCUCCUUCACCUGCUAGAGAUCAAGUUAAAGAAGUCACAAUCACUAUUACUGUUGUAGAAAAGGUACUCCUUUUCCUUUAUUCAGGCUCUUACUUGUGCUUAGAAUAAAUGUUUGUGGCUUCUAUGGUUAACUAGCUGAAACAUAAAGGCUUUGGUUAUUGUAUGUUCCCUUCGAAGGCCAUUUGUAGUAUUGAUUUAACCCACAAGCACUUUGGACGUUGUUUUUGCCUCAAUCAUUCAAGCAGGUGGUUCUGUACAAUGUAGAACACAGCUUAAAGGGAAAAACAUAGAAAGACAUCAACUCUACAAGCAGCUCCUGUAGUAGCUCUGGAAACAUUGUGAAGUAACUCUAUGCACAAUAUUAUUGAUACCUAUUUGGAAUUUUCCUAUAAUGGGACAAAUUUGAUAUACAAUCUAUUUACAUUAUAGAAUCUUUCCUAAUGCACCUGUGUCUCACUGACAG
rnacentral:lncRNA from 10 species